AACGAACGCUGGCGGCAGGCCUAAUACAUGCAAGUCGAACGGAUGUAGCAAUACAUUAGUGGCGCACGGGUGCGUAACACGUGGGAACAUACCCCUUGGUAAGGAAUAAUAUCUGGAAACGGAUACUCAUACCUUAUAAUAUCUUCGGAUCAAAGAUUUAUCGCCAAGGGAUUGGCCCGCGUCUGAUUAGCUAGUUGGUGAGGUAACGGCUCACCAAGGCGACGAUCAGUAGCUGGUCUGAGAGGAUGAUCAGCCACACUGGGACUGAGACACGGCCCAGACUCCUACGGGAGGCAGCAGUAAGGAAUAUUGGACAAUGGGCGAAAGCCUGAUCCAGCCAUGCCGCGUGAGUGAAGAAGGCCUUAGGGUUGUAAAGCUCUUUCAAUGGUGAAGAUAAUGACGGUGACCAUAGAAGAAGCCCCGGCUAAAUUCGUGCCAGCCGCCGCCGUAA
rnacentral:rRNA from 1 species